GUGGGGAAUAUUGGACAAUGGGCGCAAGCCUGAUCCAGCCAUGCCGCGUGAGUGAUGAAGGCCCUAGGGUUGUAAAGCUCUUUCACCGGUGAAGAUAAUGACGGUAACCGGAGAAGAAGCCCCGGCUAACUUCGUGCCAGCAGCCGCGGUAAUACGAAGGGGGCUAGCGUUGUUCGGAAUUACUGGGCGUAAAGCGCACGUAGGCGGACAUUUAAGUCAGGGGUGAAAUCCCGGGGCUCAACCCCGGAACUGCCUUUGAUACUGGGUGUCUGGAGUAUGGAAGAGGUAAGUGGAAUUCCGAGUGUAGAGGUGAAAUUCGUAGAUAUUCGGAGGAACACCAGUGGCGAAGGCGGCUUACUGGUCCAUUACUGACGCUGAGGUGCGAAAGCGUGGGGAGCAAACAGGAUUAGAUACCCGGGUAGUCC
rnacentral:rRNA from 1 species